UGGAAUGUAUUUAAUUAAACACGCCUGUGUAUUAUUUUUAAAAACAAAUCAUUCUUUUGUACGAAAAUAAGCUAUAAACUCGAGAAUAAUUCAGCCAAUUGAAAAUAUGCUCAGUUAUAUAGAAAAGUUGAAGUAUAAAAUUUGGAGAUGAUUGAAAAGAUUACACCGCUAACUACUAUACUAACGGUUUGGAUCGGCUGGAUAAUGUAUACAACAACGUUCGAUUAUCGAAGACAUCGCUUCUGCACAAUGCCUUUUACGUAUACCUCUUAUAAUUCUGAUGCUCGCAAAAGAGAAGUGGAAGUAUUGGGUAGAGUGUACAAAUUCGGAGACAAUCUAAGCAUGAAAGAAGGAAAGUGAAGCAUAAAAGUUCUUUAUAUCAUUAUAAUAUAUAUAAUAGUAUAUAUGUAUAUAUCAAGAAUUAUAGCUGUUGUAGUUAUAACAACAUUCAAUAAACCACAAUAUGAAAAAUAUAUUUAUUUUUAAUCAAUAUAUGUGAUAUAUUUUGGAUAAUGUAAGUUUAUGUAACAUAUUUGCAAUGUGACAAAGUUUUUUUGACCUAUGAUUUUAAAUUUUAAUGUAAAUUUUAUAUGUUACAUUUUUAUGCUUUGAAAAUAUAUACAUCAAAUAACGAGAAAAGGUAAACGAAGAGGAAUUAGGUAUUAAUUAAAAGAGAAAUCAGUUCGGAUACUAUACUGAGCCUUCGUUUCAUGUAAUAAACAGGGAACUGUAAAACUCCAUUCGGAAUAUACAUAUGUCAAAUGAAAGUAGAAAAUGUGAAAGAAUAACACGUGAUGAGAAAGUAUACAUAGCAUACAUGUAAGCAUAAGUAUACAUACAUGUAACAGACAGAACAUAAUAACAAGACCAUUGCUAUACCCAGAACAUAAGAAUUUUUAAGUUCAACAAACUGUGUAUUUAGAAAAUGCUUCAUUUUGGUUGAUGCUUCGCGUCCCAACAAGAUCUAUUUAUAUGUAUGUAUGUUUUGUAAGUGAAUCUUGUGAAAAUUACAUAAAGACACGUAGUUAUGUCAAAGUCAUCGGAUAUUUGCUAAUUUGCUGAAACACGAGGCAACAUCAGAUUGUGAAUUUAUAGCGUGACCGUGUACAUCUUAUGUAUGUACAAGUGUUAUACUACAUAUACAUAUAUACAUAGGUUGACGCAUAUAAAAUGUUGCAAG
rnacentral:misc_RNA from 1 species